rnacentral:SRP_RNA from 1 species
CUGUGCUGGAUGGGGAGUUAGCGGUGCCCUGUAACCUGCAAUCCGCUCUAGCAGGGUUUAAAGCCGUUCCGAGGCCAUUCAAUUUUUCGGCGCGGAACCCAAUUGGCGAUCGAUGAUAGCCGGGCUCUAUGCAAUAGGGGCUUACGAACCCCGUCAGGGCCGGAAGGCAGCAGCGGUAAGAAAGUUACCCUAUGUGCCGUAGAACUACCUGGCAGGAGUUUGGCAAUUGAUGGAUGUACUGGAAAAUGGGGUCAACGUUCGGUCGCACAG